rnacentral:rRNA from 1 species
GCAAUGGGCGAAACGUGNACGCAGCGACGCCGCGUGGGGGAUGAAGGUCUUCGGAUUGUAAACCCCUUUCGGGAGGGAAGAUGGAGCGAGCAAUCGUUCGGACGGUACCUCCAGAAGCAGCCACGGCCAACUUCGUGCCAGCAGCCGCGGUAAUACGAAGGUGGCAAGCGUUGUUCGGAUUCACUGGGCGUACAGGGUGUGUAGGCGGUUUGGUAAGCCUUCUGUUAAAGCUUCGGGCCCAACCCGGAAAGCGCAGAGGGUACUGCCAGGCUAGAGGGUGGGAGAGGAGCGCGGAAUUCCCGGUGUAGCGGUGAAAUGCGUAGAGAUCGGGAGGAAGGCCGGUGGCGAAGGCGGCGCUCUGGAACAUACCUGACGCUGAGACACGAAAGCGUGGGGAGCAAACAGGAUUAGAUACCCUGGUAGUCCACGCCCUAAACUAUGGAUACUAAGUGUCGGCGGGUUACGCGMUUGNCCGCAGCUAACGCAUUAAGUAUCCCGCCUGGGAAGUACGGCCGCAAGUUGAAACUCAAAGGAAUUGACGGGGGCCCGCACAAGCGGUGGAGCAUGUGGUUUAAUUCGACGCAACGSAA